rnacentral:lncRNA from 1 species
AUUGGAGUUAAGCAACCUACUGACAAAACUGGCUUCAGUUUGUUCAGUGGCUCAUUGAGCAAUCUAAAGGCAAAUCCCCUCGAGCUCACAUAUUCAAAAUGACAAUGACGGAGAUGUUUUAUGCUGUUUGGCUGGAAAGGAAUGCGAGAGUAUUCGAAAAUACAUAUUGUACCAGUGACAAACUACUUAGGAAUAUUGCUU